rnacentral:rRNA from 1 species
GAUGAACGCUAGCUACAGGCUUAACACAUGCAAGUCGAGGGGCAGCAUGGUCUUAGCUUGCUAAGGCCGAUGGCGACCGGCGCACGGGUGAGUAACACGUAUCCAACCUGCCGUCUACUCUUGGACAGCCUUCUGAAAGGAAGAUUAAUACAAGAUGGCAUCAUGAGUCCGCAUGUUCACAUGAUUAAAGGUAUUCCGGUAGACGAUGGGGAUGCGUUCCAUUAGAUAGUAGGCGGGGUAACGGCCCACCUAGUCUUCGAUGGAUAGGGGUUCUGAGAGGAAGGUCCCCCACAUUGGAACUGAGACACGGUCCAAACUCCUACGGGAGGCAGCAGUGAGGAAUAUUGGUCAACGGGCGAGAGCCUGAACCAGCCAAGUAGCGUGAAGGAUGACUGCCCUAUGGGUUGUAAACUUCUUUUAUAAAGGAAUAAAGUCGGGUAUGGAUACCCGUUUGCAUGUACUUUAUGAAUA